CGCUAUCACUCCUACGGGAGGCAGCAGUGGGAAUAUUGCACAAUGGGGGAAACCCUGAUGCAGCCAUGCCGCGUGUGUGAAGAAGGCCUUCGGGUUGUAAAGCACUUUCAGUAGGGAGGAAGGUAGUGUAGUUAACACCUGCACUAUUUGACGUUAGCUGCAGAAGAAGCACCGGCUAACUCCGUGCCAGCAGCCGCGGUAAUACGGAGGGUGCGAGCGUUAAUCGGAAUUACUGGGCGUAAAGCGCAUGCAGGUGGUUUGUUAAGUCAGAUGUGAAAGCCCGGGGCUCAACCUCGGAAUUGCAUUUGAAACUGGCAGACUAGAGUACUGUAGAGGGGGUAGAAUUUCAGGUGUAGCGGUGAAAUGCGUAGAGAUCUGAAGGAAUACCAGUGGCGAAGGCGGCCCCCUGGACAAAGACUGACGCUCAGAUGCGAAAGCGUGGGGAGCAAACAGGAUUAGAUACCCUGGUAG
rnacentral:rRNA from 1 species